AGUGCUUCUCAUAAUCUAAGAAAGGCAACAACCCCAAAACUUUAACCUAUUUAAAAUCUACCAAAACAAAGAUAGCCCCAUUUUUUUCUCAAAAAAGUAAAAAAGAUUUCCCCAAUCAUUCCAAUACGAGAUAUACAAAUUCAAAAAGAUAUAAAUCUGGAUCAGAAAAUAAGCAAUUUAAUCAUCGUCGAUGAAAGUGUCGGUAAGAGAACGAAUGAAAGGGUAAUGAUAAUUAAUCAACGUACCUUCAUCUUGUGCAAGAUCUCUCUUCCCGUCAUUAUAAUUUGUGUGAUUCCUCCCGCUGCUACUUCUAUCCAAAGUAAAGAAUAAAUUAAACACGGAGAUUUUUUUUCUCGCACAAAUUAUACACCCAAGGAAGGCAGGCAAAAAGAAGAGCUUUGUAUUGUUGAAGAGAGGCUCCGUGUGGAUGAUUGACGGAGAUCCAGUCGUGGUAUUCUGAGGCGACGGUGGCCGCUCUUUGUGAUGUCGAC
rnacentral:lncRNA from 1 species